CUGGAGGAGAGGUGGGAGAGAGACAGGGCUCCGUGGGGGAAGGCCCAGGCCAGGCUUUCUCUCCCCGAGUGGCAAAUAACAGCGGCCCCUUUGUGGAAUGUGGCACGGCAGGAGGACAGAGUCGCCCCAUUGCUCUCUGGGUCCCGGUGGCCUCCAGCAGUGUUGGGCACAAAGUACUUGCCUGACAAGGCCCAAGACCAGCCAAGAUUCCAGAAACGGGAAAUAGACUCCUGCUCUUGAUGCAAAGAGUAUCCUUCAGGUGACAACUGGACUGUCAACCUGGAGGCACGUGGCCCUCACUUCCCUGGGGUGUGGACGGCGGCGGGGCUGGGCCUGGGAACAAGCCUCGGGGUUCAGAGUCUACUUCUUCCUGGAGUGGAACCUGCAGCAGAACUUCAUGGCUUCCAAAAAGAGGAUCCUUCCGUUUCCUAAGUGGGAAGGAAUGUCACCGAGGAGUUGAAGGAAUUGAGGUUGCAUUACCAUAAAGAGCCUCGGGACCUGAAAGUUCAGGAGAAGAGAGCCUGAAUAACCACAUUUGGGGUUUGAGGUUUUAUUGAACUGGUAAUGAAAAUAAUCUUUGCAAGAUAUUUGGAAAAUAUUUGAUAAACACAGACUGAGGCUGCUGCCUAUGUGCAUAAAUUUUUUAAAAAUUAUUUUUAAGCCUUGAAUUUAGAUUAGCAACCUGUUAACAACCAGCCAGUACUUGGGUUAAGCACAAAGAAGGAUGAUUAGAAAUGAAGGCUGCAGAGCAGAACCGAGUCCCAACCCCAACUCUGCCACUUCAGAGUGGUGCAACCAUGGGAGCUGUACAUCGCUUCUCCCCUUCUUUGUGUCUUCGUCCAUAAAAUGGAAAUGAGCUGCUAUGAGGAUUGAACAAGGAAAGUUGUAUGGAGAUGACAUUAGGACAGACUGAAAAAAU